UACGGGGGGGGCAAGCGUUGUUCGGAAUUACUGGGCGUAAAGGGCUCGUAGGCGGCCUGCUAAGUCGAACGUGAAAUCCCCGGGCUCAACCCGGGAACUGCGUCCGAUACUGGCAGGCUUGAAUUCGGGAGAGGGAUGCGGAAUUCCAGGUGUAGCGGUGAAAUGCGUAGAGAUGUGGAGGAACACCGAUGGCGAAGGCGACUCUUUGGCCUGUAACUGACGCUGAGGCGCGAAAGCGUGGGGAGCAAACAGG
rnacentral:rRNA from 1 species